rnacentral:rRNA from 1 species
AGAGUUUGAUCCUGGCUCAGAUUGAACGCUGGCGGCACGCCUAACACGUGCAAGUCGAGCGGCAGCGGGAUAUGUAGCAAUACAUAUUGCCGGCGAGCGGCGGACGGGUGAGUAAUACGUAAGAAUCUGCCCUCAAGCGGGGGAUAACUAAUGGAAACGUUAGCUAAUACCGCAUAAUCUCGGAAGAGAAAAGGUGCCCGUAAGGGUGUCACUUGAGGAGGAGCUUGCGUCUGAUUAGCUAGUUGGUGGGGUAAGAGCCUACCAAGGCGAUGAUCAGUAACUGGUCUGAGAGGACGACCAGUCACACUGGGACUGAGACACGGCCCAGACUCCUACGGGAGGCAGCAGUGGGGAAUAUUGGACAAUGGGGGAAACCCUGAUCCAGCGAUGCCGCGUGAGUGAAGAAGGCCUUCGGGU